rnacentral:rRNA from 1 species
AUGCUUGAUAUUAUGGCCUCGGGAUCCUUGGAGGGGAACACCAUCUCCUCAAAUAAAAGGCAAUCUGCAGAUAAUAAUACACUCCCUGGAGGUUUGUCCUCUAGUUCAGGAGGAUCAGAUAUGGUGGAUCGGGGCUCUACAGCACUUAUUAUAAGGGAGAAACCUACGGGGGUUCCACCACUCCCGCCGGUCUAUGUAUCCCCAAGGAAGGAAGUAAAAAGGCCAAAAAAGGGAGAUGGCAAGAGGAAUAUCCUGUUCUCUGACGAACAGGCUGCUGAACGGAAAGAGGACAAGGAAGCAAAUGGUGGGGAAAAAACUGAUAAGGAAAUUGCUGGAUCGGCGGGCUCCCUCGAGGAGUGCCGCCGGGCACAAUGA